rnacentral:rRNA from 1 species
UACAGAGGGUGCAAGCGUUAAUCGGAAUUACUGGGCGUAAAGCGCAUGUAGGUGGUUUGAUAAGUCGGAUGUGAAAGCCCCGGGCUCAACCUGGGAACUGCACUCGAUACUGUCAAGCUAGAGUAUUGUAGAGGGAAGCGGAAUUUCAGGUGUAGCGGUGAAAUGCGUAGAUAUCUGAAGGAACAUCAGUGGCGAAGGCGGCUUCCUGGACAAAUACUGACACUGAGGUGCGAAAGCGUGGGUAGCAAAC